CUCCCUUGGCUGCCCUCAUUGGAAGAAAUCACUGUGCGGCUCACACUUCAGGAGUGGUUAGUUAGGUAUCCGGUCCUUGAGGGAGUGGAGCUGUGGUUGUUAUCUGGAAGUCCUCAGCCCUGAAGAUUCCUCUCUUCGCUCCAUGCCUAUUUAUUCAAUUAUCAAUUCAGAGCAGCAUGGACUCUCAGACAUUUAUUUUAUACUCUGGCACGUUCUUACCUUCUGGAAUUACAAGAUACACCAGGAGAAUCAGCCAUUUCUCCAAGGAUGGAAUGAGAUGGACAACUUCAAGGCAUGUUCUGCAGGCUCUCUUAGACUCUCCCACGGGGACUGAGCUCCAGCUGCCUAGACAGCAGGUAACCUCCUCAGUAACACCACCUUCAGCUUCCUGGGAUCCCCUCGCUGCCAACUAUUUGCUCUCACAUUCUUGUUCCAGCACCUGCUUGUCUCAAGCAGGUGAAGCAGUGAACCAGCAGAAAGCAGGGGACUGACUCUUGGUCUCCUGUUCCUGAACUGGAUCUGGACGUUUGUCCCUGUUGGGUCAGCAGAACUCCCUUCCCCUCCCCUUUCAUGGGGCUGUGGGCGGGGACUUUCCACCUGGCUGAGGGACCCAAAAUGGCCAAUCAGAAGCUGACAUGGCAACAAACCCCCAACCACCACAGGUUCUGCUGGCUGAGGCCAUUGCCCUGUCAAUUCAAAUCAGCCCUGACCAACCCGCGACAGACAGGAUCCCCCUAGACUCAGCUCAGCCAACCUGCUGUCGGUAGCUGCAAUUUACACGGCCUGGGCCCUCCUACCUCCAGCUUCCCUGGUUAGCACUGUUCUCGCCCUUCCCGCCCUUGACUUCCCGGCCCUCACCCUUUGGCGGCUGGUGAACCUCGCCCGGGAGCCCCCCAAUAAACCUCCUGAUCCUGCGCGCCCUUUCUGCUUUACACUUCUGUAUCAUGAAGUGAGCCUGCUCCAUCCGUCAUCCAAGAGACACCUGAAGCCACUGUCCUGAAGCCUAAGGUGUUAGGAAUAAUCAAGAUGAGACUGGCCUCAGGGCAAGUUGUGCUUAAAUGGCGGAUUGGACUUCUCUUAAAGCAGAGAUUCUAGGUGUUUCCGUCCAGCAGCCUCAGGAGGGGCGAGGACUCUGGCAGUGAGGUUGGGGCACAGCUGAGGCAGCCAUGAUAAGCAUAAACAUUCUGCAAGGCUUGUGUUUUAUCUCAAAACGGGUGCACCAUUUGUGUUCUAUUCUACAAUAUGUGUAACAUACAAAAAUAAGCCAGUGUGGGUGUCGCAUGCCUGUAAUUCCAGCAACUCAGGAGGCUGAGGCAGGAGGAUUGCAAGUUCUAAGCCAGCCUCAGCAACUUAGCGAGGCCCUAAGCAAGUGAGCAAGGAUUUCUAAACAAAAAACAAAAAGUCCUGGAGAGGAUGUGGCUCAGUGGUUAAGUGCCUCUGGGUUCAAUCCCUGGUAUAAUUCUUUUUAAAUAAUAGAAAAAUAAUAUUCAAUGCCUGGAAAUGAAAUUGACCAAAUCAAACUAUUAUAUGUACAUGUUUGAAGAUGUAACAAGGAAUCUCACUGUUGUCCAUAAUUAGAAUGCACUGAUAAUAAGGAAAACAAAACCAAAAAAUGAUGUUUGAAUUUACUGACCAUCAAGUAAGCGUGGGCUCCAGGAGGAGGCCCUGGUUUCCCUCCAUGCUGUCCAGCUGGGGGAGGUCAGCAGGGAGAGGAUAGGGUGCUGGAGGCCAUGGUCACUGUACUGAUCACACCUCCUCUUUCUUCAUUUAACUUGCGUGAGUGAUUUCUGCCUGUUGGCCACCCAGGGGCUAGACCACGACCUGCUGGACCCUUCUCCAGUUGUUGAAUAUUUGGUCCAUUCUGAUGGUAAACACAACUGUGAUGCUCAUCUUCAUAUAUAAAACUGGACACCAUUUUUUUGGUGAAUCUUAGGAGAGGACUGGCUCUGGAGCCAGAGUACCAAGCUUACUAGUGCUGCCCCUCCAGCAGUGGGACCGCAGUGACCUUGGGUAAGUGACAAGAGGCCACCCCUCAGUCUCUCAGGGUAUGGGAAAAGCCCAGCGCAGGAGCCCUGGGAGCCUGGGAGAGGACUCAGCUGAGGGGAGCUGGGCGGUCAGCGCCGUGGCCUGCUUGCCUUGGACCCUCCUCUCCAUCUGCUUUCUGCACUGAUACUGUGUCAGAGGCUGGGGUCUGGAACAUCUGCUGCUGCGGCUUCCUGCUUUUGUAGAGGAGGAGACAGAGGCCCACAGAGACACAGCCAGGAUCUCACAGAGACUCAGAGACCCUGAGAAUGAUGCCUCCAGGCCCAGUCUCCUCACCGUGCUGGACUGGAGGCCAAAGCCCCGCCCACUCUUGUUCUGAUGCUUGUAUCCCUUGCCCUCUCCCUUGCCCCAGGAUAGAGUCAGGCCUGGAGCCCUCCCGGAUGUGACCAGAAGACGGGCAGUUCCUGGGAGGACUGCAUGCGUGGCCUGGUGGGGGAGCGGUUCCCCAAACACAGAGCGGGCUGUUUGCAGAAGGGAGCUCCUACCCGGCACUGUCCUCAAGGGGCAUUUAAAUUGAGUGGACAGACUUGCUGCUCACUAAGGGGUGUCCUCAGACAAAGGCGACAUCCGACUAUGGAUAUGGGAACUGUGGUGAGCCUAGGCAGGUGCCAGCCCUGUGUCGGUCCCCAUGGGCACUGUCCCAGGGAAGGGAAGGCUCAGCUCCCUCAGCCACUGAUAAUGAACCCCAGAAACUCACAUCACCCUCACCCAACCUGGCUUCCUGUUUGUAAGCCUUUUGCUGUCCCUGAUCUUGUGAGUCCCUCACCCUGGGCUCAAGGGGAUGUCGGCCUUCUUUGCAUUUUAUAGAUGGGGAAGCUGAGCCUCGAAGACGUCACACGAAUUGCCCACGUGUGGCAGUCCCUAGGCACUGUUCCUAAACCCACCAAUGGCUUCUUCCGCCAGGAGCUGCAGCUCAGCCGAGAGCUUCCCCUGGCAGGAGGAACGCGCUCAGCCCGAGGUGACACCUCUAGAAACACCCCAAUUAUUGAAGCUCAGGAGCUGGGGAUGAAUCAAUACGGCAGCUUCUCAGCCUUCCAGCGGGUGCGCAGCUCUGAGGCAGGUUCAGCACCAUCCCAGGCAGUCAGUCCCCUGGGGAUGGCGUUCCAGUUGCCCGCGGUCGCAGCCCACUCCACGCACGCAGCAUUUCAGCUGCCUUCCGCCCUGCUUCUGCUCCUGGCUCCUGUGCAGCCUUCCAGGUCUCUGCCCAAGUCCCAGCCUUAGGUCUGCUGGGGAGGCUGGAGGGUGGGUGGGAAAUGACACUGGAACCCAGACACUUAGUCCCUUAGGAAUGCCAGGAUUCCAGCUCACACCCGAUUCCACUGUAGCUGUUUUCAGGACCUGGGCAGGAGCUCUGCAGUGAGCCAGAGGAGAGCCCUAAGUUGCGCACAGUUUGUGACCACAGUUAUGUCAACUUAGGUGUCCAGCUUGAGGGUGAGGGUAGGGAGCAGACACACCUGUGGAUGGUUGGGUUUGAGUGGUAGGAUUAGGGGUGGGCCUCUUCUGCCUCCCUGAUGAGCAUCAGUUUGGCGUGGGCUUGAGGCAUGGCUCCAUCGCGGUCCGGUGGCCAUUGGGAGCGUCAUCCCACGCCAGAGUGCUCAGAGGACAUGUGGGCAGCACCAGCUCACAUGGUCAGCUCAGCGCCCUCCCCUAGCUGCUCCCUGAGUCAACACCCACCUCCCAGCUAGUGUCCAGGCUGCAGGGGCUCUGGACAGCAAGGGCCUGGAAGCUGGAUGCUCAGUGCCUGGAUGACUCCAAGUCACCACCUCUUGGCCACAGAGGGGAAACACUUGGGGCUCUCCACUCUAGCGGCCACCUCCCACGUCUCAGUGUCAGGAGCAUCGUUGGCCUCACUGGUGCCCUAAUGGGGGGAGUUAGCCAGAGCUCGGUGUUGCUUUGUCUGAUGUGCAGGCGGAGCCCACCUGUGGUGGGAGACCCAGGAAGCAGGUAUGGCCACACUGUGUUUGGCUUAUUCAUCUCCCAAAUCAGGGCUGGUGAAACUUUACCCAGCCACCACUCUGUAGUGACCAUUUUUUAUGAAAAAUUUAGUGAGCGGAGAAGCAGUGGUUGCGCUGUGGGAAUGCUCCAUGCUUGGUGACAGUGGUAGAUGAAGCCUCUGGGAGAAGAGCAGCUCCCCCAGGGGUUUUGGGUACAGGGAGAAAUAUGUGGACCCCCCAAGACCCAGGAAACCUUGGAGACCUUCUUCCAGAAUUGCUCUUCCCAGACCCACCCUACUCUGUUCAUGAUCCAGCUGGCCAUGACCCGCACAGCCAUCAGUUCAGACACUGGAGAGGGGCCAUGGGGUGCUGGGAGCCAUUAGCCAAGUAGGUAUGACAAUUUCCUUGCCAGCGUACCCCAUGUUGCUUAGUGGAAGGACUCGUGGAAAUAGGACAUUUUGCAGUGACAUUGCAUCUAAGGUGACCUUGCUCAAGGACCAGGGCGGAUCCGGGUUUAGGGUGUUCCCGGUUUAGGAUAAUCCGGGUUUAGGGCGUUCCAGGUUUAAGGUUAUUCCUGCUGGGAAUAGGGCGUAUCCUGCUGCCUGAGUUCCCCUUGAGUUCUCACGGGAUUCAGACAGUAUUUUUUGGGAGACAGAAGCCCAGUGGGGGUGGAUUUGGGCAGAGAACGUGGAUUUCCCCAGAACGUGAUUGUAGACGGCUGGUGUGAGUUCGGGAAUAAAGAGUUGCUGUUUGAAUCUACAA